rnacentral:rRNA from 1 species
AGAGACAUAAGAGUGCACGGUGGAUGCCUUGGCCUAGGACGGCUAAGAAGGACGCGACUAACCUGCGAAAAGCUCUGGGGAGGCGGUUUGUAGCCUGUGAUCCGGAGAUAUCCGAAUGGGGAAACCCUCCAGUGUUGAACUGGAAUCCGUGGGGUAACGCCCGCGUGAAGCGAACCCGGGGAAGUGAAACAUCUCAGUACCCGGAGGAAAAGAGAACAAUAGGAGUUGCGUUCUGUGCGGCCGAUGCUUCGGCGGCAUGGAACGCAACUCUCGUGAUACCCCAAGUAGCGGCGAGCGAAAAGGGAAAAGCCCAAACCAGAGUCCUCGGAUUCUGGGGUCGUAAGAUGUGGACAUCGUACUUGUACGAGAAGAGUUAUCAAUCGUCUGUAUAGCGGAAACUGCUGGGAAGCAGUGCCCAAGAGGGUAAUGGCCCCGUACGCGACAUGCAUGACGACUCUUGUUCAUAUUCUUGAGUAGCUCGAGACACGAAUAGCUCGAGUGAAUCUGCCGGAACUAACCGGUAAGGCUAAAUACGUCCUAUGACCGAU